rnacentral:rRNA from 1 species
UACGUAGGGUGCAAGCGUUGUCCGGAAUUAUUGGGCGUAAAGAGCUCGUAGGCGGUUUGUCGCGUCGAAUGUGAAAACCCGGGGCUCAACCCCGGGCCUGCAUUCGAUACGGGCAGACUAGAGUUCGGUAGGGGAGUCUGGAAUUCCUGGUGUAGCGGUGAAAUGCGCAGAUAUCAGGAGGAACACCAAUAGCGAAGGCAGCUCGCUGGGACGUUACUGACACUGAGGCGCGAAAGCGUGGGGAGCGAACGGG